CAGCCUCCCGAGUAGCUGGAGCUACAGGCGCCCGCCGCCACGCCUGGCCAAUUUUUUUGUAUUUUUAGUAGAGAUGGGGUUUCACCGUGUUAGCCAGGAUGGUCUCGAUCUCCCGACCUCGUGAUCCACCCGUCUCGGCCUCCCAAAGUGCUGAGAUUACAGGCGUGAGCCACCGUGCCCAGCCAAAUCUGCUUUUUAAUCAGCUCCCUGCUUCGCGGGAUUCUUAGAAGGAAGAGGAAGAAACAAAAGGAACUUCUCUCUUAGAUUUAAUUCUGACCUACCAGGAAGAACUGGAUUGUUGAAGCAGAAGUACUGGAGUCUCUGGAGCUAAAACCAAGGAUAAGAACAUUAAGAUUAUCCUGCUGGAGAGAGAGGCCAUGCGGAAGAACCCUGGAAAAUGAGACAGCUCACAGAGCAAGAGGCCAUGUGGAGAAGGCCUAGAAGUAAAAUGCCUCAUGGAACAAGAGGCCACAUGCAGAAGGCCUGGAGGAUGAGACGCCCUGUGAAGUGAGAGGCCACGUGGAGAAGGCCUAGAGGAGGAGACACCUUAUGGAGCAAGAGGCCGAAUGGAGAAGCCCCAGAGGGUUAGACACCUUGUGGAGCAAGAGGUCACACGCAGAAGUCCUGGGAGUGAGAUGCCUCACGAAGCGAGAUGCCUCGUGAAGCGAGAUGCCUCGUGGAGUGAGAGGCCAUGUGGAAGAACCCUGGAACUCAGCGGCUGAUAACACAAAGAUCCCAUGGUGUGAGAGAGGCCUUCAUGAACUUCCCGUCCAGCCCAGCUAGAGCCAAAUGGAGCCAUAUGUGUGACCGCAAGUGACAUCUACAAAAGAACGACCCAGUCACCCUGAGAAUUGUUAGAAAUGCAAAGCACUAAGUUUUGGGGUAGUUUGUUACACAGCAAUAGCUAACUGAUACAGAUGGUUUGAAUUACUUGACUUUAAAGUUCCUUCUUACCCUGAAAGUUUAUGGCUUAGUAAAGUGAAUUAAGCACAUUUGACUGAAACAGAGAGAUGGUGUAGGAAAAGAUCAGAAGGUAAGGGCAGGGCAAGGUGAGGAAGGCUUUCCGUGCCACGAUAAGGAAUUUGAGCUUUAACUGGUAGGUUCUGAAGCUGUCCCAGGAGGAAGUGACAUGAGAAGAUAGUUUUUUAGGAAGACCCACACUGCAGCAGCAUGUAGAUCAGACACGUGGGCACACAGAGCAGAUGUGAGAGAGAAGGAGGCAUGGAGACCUGAUUGCUGAGGCAAAAAGAUGCAGCUGACAAUUAUGGAGCAACAAGCUACUGAAUACAGAAUUGAACAUUCAGUCUUCAAGACACAGAUGUAAGCUGCUUUCUCUGUAUCAGCCUUCUCUGUAUCAACUCUUCAUUUUUUCCAACUAUGAUGUUUUUACUUUCAAAAAUCCAUGGGAGAAUACAUGGUAUGUCGUUAAAAGCCUGGGAUUUGAAAUAAGAAAGCCUUAGCUUUAAACCCCUUCUCUCACCUUCUAGCUGUGUAACUCUGGGCAAGUUACUGAACCUUGCUGUAUCGCAGCUUCUUCAUUUGUAAAAUGGAUAUAAUGAUAUUUGUCUCACAGGAGUAAUGCAAAGAUAAAAACGGAUUAUGUCUCAUGCAUUUACUUUUACUAAAUGGCUAAAUGCUCAAGCAACACAAAUACAUGAUUAUUUCUCUUUCACGUAACAGUCCAGGUUGGGAGUGUCAGGUUGAGGGGUGGAUCUUUUUCACAUCUUCUUGAAAGAAUUCGUGGUAAAAGCUGUCUUCAGUUUAUGCCUUCCAAGGUUCUUUUGGCCAUCGCCAUUCCAGAAAGAAGAGGAGAAGAGAGCAUGAAGGAGCCCGCCUAACAUGUUUUAUCUGGCUUCUCAGAAAUGGCACAUGCUUCUACUUGCAUUCCAUUGGCAAGAACACACGGCACACCAGCUGCCCACGGGGAUAGGGAAUCCCAGCUAGAAUUCCAUCCAAUAGAAGACAGAGGGGAGAGAAGAGCAGGGUAUUGGUAUCCACGCAAUUCAUCCAUUUAUUCCUCAAGCAUGUGUUAAGCGUUUGGCGAUGCUUCACGAUGUUGGACUCUGGACAUUCACAGAAGAUGAACACAUCUCACAAAAGGUGAAAAUGUUUAAAUCACCUGGGAUAAAGAACAUUCAGGGUUGAAAGAAUACAUGUUUGGUUAUAAUACUGCUUAUUAAGCAAGUAGAAAAUUAGAGUAAAUAUCAGCCCUUUAAGAAGACAGAUCUUCCAGAGAGCCUUAAAGGCAAGGUGGGCAUUUGAUGGUUUUAUCUGGGAACAUGCACUCCAGGUUCACCGUGAGCAGGUGAGAGACAUGGCUACACCUCUGAAAUGCUGCAAGUUCAUUUUUGAAGGAUUUGUCAUAGUAAAACAGAAAAAGUUCCCUUAUCCCCCUUACAGGGCGUGACAAGGGGAGUGGCUCCCUUCUUCCGCGCCCUGCAGCCUAAACCCCUAGGGAGAGCAUGCAGUCGGGCAGGUAGUAGGGAGCGUGGGCUCCAACCCCACCGCAGCGUCUAGGGUUGAGUGUUUACAGUUUUCGAAGCCCCGGUGAGCGUGUGUUGCAGCGUGCUUUUUCAGCUUAGCCAUCCGCAGGCGGCUUGUAUUAAUCAGCUCAAUUAGACCCUCUGCCUUAUCGCAAGGACAGAGGGCUUUUUGUAUCCUGGGGUUCUUGCCUAGUGUACUGGAAAAAUCUGAUCAUACAUGGGCUUGGAGAAUGAGUGCAAGGUUUUAUUGAGUGGUGGAAGUAGCUCUUAGCAGAUGGAUGGGAAGCCGGAAGAGGGAUGGAGUGGGAAGGGGUCUUCCCCUGGAGUCAGGCCGCUCAGUGGCUGGGCUUGCUUCUGACUGCCCUCUGCCAAAUUUCCCUCAGCGUCUGCGUGGUUCCACCGUCGAUGGCCUGCUAGUGUUUUUCUGCGAGUGUGUUCCUCUCGACGCCCAGCUGCUUGUACAUGUGCCCACUAGGGUCUCUCGGGUUUCUAUGGGCAUGGGAUGGCGGGGGGUUGUGGCGGGCCAGGGUGGUCUUGGAAAAUGCAACUUUUGGGCGUGAAAACAGGAAUGCCUGUCCUCACUUAGGUCCGUGGGCACAGGCCUGAGGGUGGAGCCCUGGCCAGGGACCCCAUCCUUCUCUACCCAGCACCUCCCUGCCCCCUCCCGUAUCAAUAGCAAUGAUGAAGGACUCACGCAGCCAUCUUUUCAGGAGCAUGUGACAGCCUGCAUGACCGGAGCCAAUGGUGAAUGUUUAAAUUCUGGGUCCCGAAGCAAUAUCUUGGGAAGGGCCUUCCUCUGUCCCACAGCUUCUAAAAAUGUUCUGUGCUUAUAGUAUUGGCUCAGUUUUGUGGAUGUGUUUCUGGGAUUAUUCAGUGACCUCAGACAGGCUGCUCCAAGUCUCCCUGGACCACCUGCGUAGUUCAGCCAUAUUCUACAGUGAGCACUUAGAUCUGGAUUUUGUCUGGAAACUCAAGUAUAAGACCUAGCACCACUUGCCAAGGACCUCUGCUUUGCUUUGGUAGGCCAAGGGUCUGGCUCUGUUACCCAGGCUGGAUUGCAGUGGUGCAAUCUCGGCUCCUGUAACCUUCACCUCCUGUAACCUUCACCUCCUGGGCUCAACCCAUCCUCUGGCCUCAGCCUCCUGAGGAACUGGGACUUACAGGUGUGCCACCACACACAGCAAUUUUUUUUUUUUUUGUAUUUUUGGUAGAGAUGGGGUUUCAUCAUGUUGGUCAGGCUGGUCUCUAACUCCUGGGCUCAAGUGAUCUGCCCAUCUCAGCCUCCCAAAGUGCUGGGAUUAUAGGCGUGAGCCACCGCACCAAGCCCUACUUUGUAUUUUGAAUAGAAGCAACAGCAGUGAUGGGAUUCGUACUCCAAACCUCAGCGUCACACAACAUUCCCAUGCAGCAAAUCUGCACAUGUAUCCUCUGUAUCUAAAAUAAAAGUUGAAAUGUUUUUAAAAAGAAGCAAUGGUAGCACUCUGUUUUAAACUAAUGUUAAUGUUCUCAAAGCCACAGUGGAAGAAAUCCACUACAUAUCACCUAGAACUGGAGAUCUAAUCUGACAGGUGGGCCACAGUACUAAUAAUGUGAGCACAAUUCCUAUACAAAAUUUUAUUAAACUGUAUUAGUUGAGCAGACAAAACUACACAGACACUCUUCUCUCUGCCUUGUUCCUUCUUGUACUCUG
rnacentral:lncRNA from 10 species